UACCAGCACCCCGAGUGGUCGGGACGUUUAUUGGGCCUAAAGCAUCCGUAGCCGGUUCUACAAGUCUUCCGUUAAAUCCAACUGCUUAACAGGUGGGCUGCGGAAGAUACUAUAGAGCUAGGAGGCGGGAGAGGCAAGCGGUACUCGAUGGGUAGGGGUAAAAUCCGUUGAUCCAUUGAAGACCACCAGUGGCGAAGGCGGCUUGCCAGAACGCGCUCGACGGUGAGGGAUGAAAGCUGGGGGGAGCAAACCGGG
rnacentral:rRNA from 1 species